rnacentral:rRNA from 1 species
AUACGGAGGGUGCAAGCGUUAUUCGGAAUCACUGGGCGUAAAGGACGCGUAGGCGGGUUGGCAAGUCAGAUGUGAAAUCCUACAGCUUAACUGUAGAACUGCAUUUGAAACUGCUAACCUAGAGUAUGGGAGGGGGAAAUGGAAUUAGUGGUGUAGGGGUAAAAUCCGUAGAUAUCACUAGGAAUGCCGAAAGCGAAGGCGAUCUCCUGGAACAUAACUGACGCUAAGGCGUGAAAGCGUGGGGAGCAAACAGGAUUAGAAACCCUAGUAGUCC